AAGUCGUAACAAGGUUUCCGUAGGUGAACCUGCGGAAGGAUCAUUACCAAUCCAAAUUAUAACAACCACUGUGAACUUGUCAACGUCUUUUGGGUGAAGAAAGCAGUCAAAUGCUUUCUAUCACCCAACUGUUAUAAACCCCUUAAAAUACUUGUGUUGAAUUUAAAACUCUUGCGUUACAAUUCUUUAAGAAUUGAACAAUAGAAUUAAACAAAAACAUAAAUACAACUUUUAACGGUGGAUCUCUUGGCUCAU
rnacentral:misc_RNA from 1 species